UACGUAGGGGGCAAGCGUUGUCCGGAAUCAUUGGGCGUAAAGCGCGUGUAGGCGGCUCGAUAAGUCCGCUGUGAAAGUCGGGGGCUCAACCUCGAAUGCCGGUGGAUACUGUCGGGCUAGAGUGCGGAAGAGGCGAGUGGAAUUCCUGGUGUAGCGGUGAAAUGCGCAGAUACCAGGAGGAACACCAAUGCGAAGGCAGCUCGCUGGGACGUUACUGACGCUGAGACGCGAAAGCGUGGGGAGCAAACAGG
rnacentral:rRNA from 1 species